AACCAUUAGGAUAGGUGUCUGCCAUCAGAUCCCUCAUUACGGACUGCAUGCUGACGGACUUCCAUGGGCCUGCUACCUGAGACCUGCUGCUUCCUCCCGGACUCACUCUGCGGCUUCUUCCUGGACCCACCCAGUACCUGCACCCUCUUGUUGCCCAAAACCGGCCUCGCUGCUCCUGCCCUUUGGCCUUGGACCAUAGGAACGGCGUGCAACGGACCGCUGCUGGAUCUUGUUGGACAGCCUGCUGCACGACAGGAUCUCCCAUUGUGUAGGGAUGCCUCUCAAGGUUACAUGUGAGCAGAGAUCACUUGCACCUCGAUGUCAAGAGAUACCUGGCCAAUAGAGAUCCUCAAUGUACAGACUGGGAGAAGAACUCCUUGUGAGCAGCCCUGUGCAGAAGGACUUGGGGAUUUUGGUGGACAAAAAGAUUGACACAAACCAACAGUGUGUGCCUGCAGCCCAGGAGAGCAACUGUGACCUUUGCUGCAUCCAAAGAACAGUUGGCCAUCAGGGCAAGGAAGGUGAAUGUCCCUCUCUACUCUGCCCUCAUGAAGUCCCACCUGGAAUAUUGUGUCCAGGACUGAGGCCUCCAGCACAAGAAAUACGUGAAGCUGUUGGGGUGGAUCCAGAGGAGGGCCAUGAAGAUGAUCAAAGGGUGGGAGCACCUUUACUAUGAAGAAAGGUUGAGGGAACUGGACUUGUUCACCCUGCAGAAGCAAUUCUCCAGGGAGAUCUCACUUUGGUCUUUCAGUACUAAAAAAAAGCUUAUAAAAAAAGAGUGAUAUCCUCUUUUUACAUUUUCUCAUAGUGGUAAGACAAGAGGGAAUGAUUUUAAAGUAAAAGUAAUGUAAAAGAAGGGAGAUUUUGGUUAAAUAUUAGGAAGACAUUCCUAGUGGAAGAGUGGCAAGGCACCAGAACAAGAAGCUGAGGGUGCCCCAUCCACGAAGGCAUUCAAGGCCAGGUUGGAUGGGGCCCUGAGCAGCCUACUUGGGUUUGUGGUGACCCUGCCUAUGGAAGGGUCUGGUACUAGAUGACCUUUAAUGUCCCUUCCAACCCAAGACAUUUUAUGAGUCUAUGACUGUGAUAUUAAACACUUCUAAAACUUCUGUUAUAUGGCAGUUACUCUGAAAGUUAUGCCUCCUACUUAUUUCCAUGGAAACUACAACAGAUACAAAGAGCACAGUAACACUGUUGGAUGGAUAAAAUUCUCAGCUACAGAACACUUUUUCAACAGUAACCACCAAGAGCCUGCAUUCUGUGCUUGAAACAAUCUUCACCAACUGAGGUGACCCACUAUCACUGUCACCAGAGCUAAAACUCAUGCCCACCACCUCACUGUGCUCACAUUCACUGUUUUGUUUCCAUAAACAUUCAGGAAACCGAUGAAUGUCAAUGGCUGCCAUUUUUUUUCUGCAUGGAGGAAUUCAGUGACACACCUUUGCUUCAUAUGCACUUCUAUGUCAGAUGCCUUUUUGUCAGUGUGGUCUUUUGUUGCCAUCUGUCACACAGCAAUAAAAUGUAAUUGAAUAUUGGUGGGAAGGUUCAAACUCUAUUGACGUACCACCAAUAUUUACCUCUGACAUUGUGGGCAAACAUAAUAAUACAGGGGGCAUUACUUUUGGAAUUGUCCUUGUACAUUCUAUUAUCCAAAAUAAUACUACUAUUGGGAAAAACUUCUGCUUGACAUUUUGUGUUUUGACUGGCAUUUGUUAGCUGCCAGCUGUCAUAAGAAAGACUGCAACACAUGCCGUUAGCAGCAUAUGCCUUUUUGGGCACAGAAUAGCAUUUUCAUACAAAAAUAAAUAAAUAAAUAAAUAAAAAUCAAAUGAUCCAUAACAUAUUAUGCUGUCAUUUAAAAAAUGCAUCAGAACUGUAACAUUUUUCAUGUUUAUAAUACAUGUUAUUCCCCAAGGCUCAGUCUACUAAAUUCUCACUACAUUCGGGGACAUAAUGAGGAAAGCAUUUAUUCUAUUAAUUGGCAUUAUAUUUUUUUCAGUAUGUUAAUGAUUUUUUUUCAGAAAGGCGAUUCUGUUCUUCUCAAAACAAUUGCAAUGUUUCAUAUUUGUGCUUUGCUAUUUUCUGCUUUGUCAGAUCAAUCUAUUUUUCCUUACCAUACCAUCUUCUCCAUUGUUCACCACUCUUAAACACUUCUUUCUUUGUAAUAAAACAUGGGAGAGAUUUCAGGAAUGUAUGGGUAAAUGCAAUAGCUGUUUCUGUUUUUUGUUACAAAAAUCCAGAGUUCUACUAAUUAUAUUUACUUUUAACAUUAUUUUGAUAAGUAAAAAAGUCACCUUCAAAGAAACCAAAACCUAUUCACUUCCCGAAUGGUGAAAUUAUAAUUACUGAUUCUUACAUCCAUACAGUGCUGUCUGGGUUCCUUUAUAUUUUUGGAUUCUGAUACGUGUAAACAAAGUCAAGAAGCUACCCUGAUUUCCCUAAGCAGUCAAAAGGGAAAAAUACAUAUUCUUUUUGUGACUGAUUCAAUCCACUUUUAAAGAUUUUAAAAUUGUGAUGCUACUAGGAACAGAUUUAAAUCAGGAAGUUUCAUUUAUUCUUGAAUACUUCAGAGUAAUAGGUCAUUUUCUAAGAAAUAUGCUAUUGCUAUACUGAUUACUGGAAAAAAAAUCACUGAAAUUUUCCAAAAAUCACACGAAUUAUCCGUUUUCUCUCUUGAAUUUACUUAAAUAAGUAAACAAAUAAAUAAAA
ensembl:lncRNA